rnacentral:lncRNA from 1 species
AGCCAGGGACGCGCGCUCGGUCCCCCGCCGUGCGCCCCCGGUCCCGCGCCCAGGCUCCCGCCCCUGGCCUCCUUACCAGCCACUUGUCGCCCAGCUGCGAACUGGAGCGGGAGGCGGCGGCCGAAGGGCCCAGGACAGCCCCGGGAGGGCGGCGAGGCGGAGCAGGAGCGCCCCGGCUCCGGCCACAUUCUCAGAGUCAGGAAAAGGGGCGAGAGGCCACAUGUCUCCCUCUCGCCAAACUGAAAACGAAACGGCGCUCCAGCAGAUUGGGUGGAAAGAGCUGUGUCUGUUUUCUCUGUUUUUCACGCUAGAAAGGGCUUGUAAACAUUGUUCCUUUUAAAAUGACCUACCCCGGGAGGUUUGGGCACACUUCUGUCCUGGGGUCAUCGUUCGUAGGUGGCUUCGGACCUGGGACUUUGAUUUCCUGUAUCUGCACAUUGUCGUUUUAUACACAAUUGCCAAGGUAGGACUGCUUUCAACUUUACUGUGCUUGAAGCUGCAAAGCGGAUCCUGUUACAGUGCAAAGAAGAAAUGGCAAACGGAUAACAGCUACUGUGCCUAGAAGAUGGUUCUGCCCUGAUGUUUCCUGGAAUAAUGCUGAGGACUGCCUUUCGGGUAGCCUCCCUAUUCAGUUCACUUCAUCUCGGAAAUACCUGACCCCUGCCUUGGAUCCAGCGGCCCUCCUGAGAGCUGAGGAAGGAGGAAAUCCUACAUGUCUGCUCCCGGAGCUGCCACAACCCAUCUUCCCACAACUCGGAACUUGGAAAAAGGAACCCAGGACACGACUUUGCUUUUCUUUUGGACCUAGUUGGUGAUUAUACUCUGUCUCCCAUGGAGACCACGUCUUGCAUCCUUCCUUCUAUAUGGGAUUUAGGAUAGAAAUUAAAAAGAAAACAUAUUAUUUUGAGUCUUGAUUUGGAG